rnacentral:misc_RNA from 1 species
GUCACCUGCAGUUAAACCGCCAUCAUUAAGGUUAAACUGACGAGGCAUUGUAUCUUGCCAAGCCCAUAAAGAUGGUAAGGUAUCAGAAGUAGCUGGAGUUUUUUUUAUGCUCCCAUCCUGAGUACUUUCACUUCCCUGUGAGCUAAGAGGUUUGCCAACACUUUUUGCAACAACAGAAAUCUUCCUCAACCCGUCUUUCAGAGCACUAACCGCUGCAUCAAAGGUCUCUGCAGAAACUGCCCCUUCUUCUGCAUAUCUUAAAGCUUCCAGACAUAGGUAGUUGAAACGUGAAGUGAGUGAAUUAAUUCCUUGUUUAACGAUGUCUUCAUCCGAUCCUUGUCCAACUUUUGCAUUUCUU